ensembl:lncRNA
AUGGUCCUGUUAUCAGGAAUUGAACUAUUCAUUAUAAAGUACAAGAUGAACAGUGGGAAAGCAAUUGGCCCAGCUCAGUGUUUGGUACCAGUUAGGCAACAUCUCGGCAACAGACUCCAGUAUUCUUGCCUGCAAAAUCCCAUGAACAGAGGAGCCUGGGGGGUUACAGUCCAUGGGGUCACAAAGAGUCAGAUACAACUGAGCACACACACACACAUGCAACAACAGCUACUGAGGCAGGUGGCUCUGGGGACAAAUCUUGUGUGUACUGAGGAUCGGGAGGGAGCUAAGGACAGGAAAGCACCACCAUGUGGGACAAAUCAUGGCUGCCUAGACUCGCCCAUUCAGCAAGAUCAGUGGCGGGGAUGUUUCUACCUAACAAAGGUCUGUGGCAUAUCGGGAUGUGCUGUCCAUUACUGGGAUGUGCUGUUCCUAGCUAUGAAAAGAAGAGAAGCGAAAGGCAAAGGAGAAAAGGAAAGAUAUACCUAUUUGAAUGCAGAGUUCCAAAGAAUAGCAAGGAGAGAUAAGAACGCCUUCCUCAGUGAUCAAUGCAAAGAAAUAGAGGAAAACAAUAGAAUGGGAAAGACUAGAGAUCUCAUCAAGAAAAUUAGAGAUACCAAAGGAACAUUUCAUGCAAAGAUGGGCUCAAUAAAGGACAAAAAUGGUAUGGACCUAACAGAAGCAGACGAUAUUAAGAAGAGGUGGCAAGGAUACACAGAACUAUACAAAAAAGACCUUCAUGACCUAGAUAUGUACCUAGAGCCAGACAUCCUGGAAUGUGAAGUCAAGUGGGCCUUAGGAAGCAUCACUAUGAACAAAGCUAGUGGAGGUGAUAGAAUUCCAGUUGAGCUAUUUCAAAUCCUAAAAGAUUAUGCUGUGCAAGUGCUGCACUCAAUAUGCCAGCAAAUUUGGAAAACUCAGCAGUGGCCACAGGACUGGAAGUCAGUUUUCAUUUCAAUCCCAAAGAAAGGCAAUGCCAAAGAAUGCUCAAACUACUGCACAAUUGCACUCAUCUCACACGCUAGCAAAGUAAUGCUCAAAAUUCUCCAAACCAGGCUUCAACAGUACAUGAACCAUGAACUUCCAGAUGUUCAAGCUGGUUUUAGAAAAGGCAGAGGAACCAGAGAUCAAAUUGCCAACAUGGGUUGGUUCAUCGAAAAAGCAAGAGUUCAAGAAAAACAUCUAUUUUUAUUGACUAUGCCAAAGCCUUUGACUGUGUGGAUCACAAUAAACUGUGGAAAAUUAUGA